AGAGUUUGAUCCUGGCUCAGGAUGAACGCUAGCUACAGGCUUAACACAUGCAAGUCGCGGGGCAGCAUGUUGGUUGCUUGCAACCGAUGAUGGCGACCGGCGCACGGGUGAGUAACGCGUAUCCAACCUACCUAUUACCACGGGAUAACCCGGCGAAAGUCGGACUAAUACCGUAUGUUGUCCAUUGACGGCAUCCGAUUUGGACGAAAGGCUUUGCGGUGAAGGAUGGGGAUGCGUCCGAUUAGCCAGACGGCGGGGUAACGGCCCACCGUGGCUACGAUCGGUAGGGGUUCUGAGAGGAAGGUCCCCCACACUGGAACUGAGACACGGUCCAGACUCCUACGGGAGGCAGCAGUGAGGAAUAUUGGUCAAUGGGCGUAAGCCUGAACCAGCCAAGUAGCGUGCAGGAUGACGGCCCUAUGGGUUGUAAACUGCUUUUAUGCGGGGAUAAAGUGGCCCACGUGUGGGUUUUUGCAGGUACCGCAUGAAUAAGGACCGGCUAAUUCCGUGCCAGCAGCCGCGGUAAUACGGAAGGUCCGGGCGUUAUCCGGAUUUAUUGGGUUUAAAGGGAGCGUAGGCCGCGCCUUAAGCGUGUUGUGAAAUCCGGGUGCUCAACAUCCGGCUUGCAGCGCGAACUGGGGCGCUUGAGUGCGCUGAAAGUAGGCGGAAUUCGUGGUGUAGCGGUGAAAUGCUUAGAUAUCACGAGGAACUCCGAUUGCGAAGGCAGCCUACUGUAGCGCUACUGACGCUGAUGCUCGAAAGCGUGGGUAUCGAACAGGAUUAGAUACCCUGGUAGUCCACGCGGUAAACGAUGGAUGCUCGUUGUCGGCCCUUUGGGUCGGUGACCAAGCGAAAGCGUUAAGCAUCCCACCUGGGGAGUACGC
rnacentral:rRNA from 1 species